rnacentral:rRNA from 1 species
GAAUUUUGGACAAUGGGCGCAAGCCUGAUCCAGCCAUGCCGCGUGCGGGAAGAAGGCCUUCGGGUUGUAAACCGCUUUUGUCAGGGAAGAAAUGCUCUGGGUUAAUACCUCGGGGCGAUGACGGUACCUGAAGAAUAAGCACCGGCUAACUACGUGCCAGCAGCCGCGGUAAUACGUAGGGUGCAAGCGUUAAUCGGAAUUACUGGGCGUAAAGCGUGCGCAGGCGGUUGUGUAAGACAGAUGUGAAAUCCCCGGGCUUAACCUGGGAACUGCAUUUGUGACUGCACGGCUCGAGUGCGGCAGAGGGGGAUGGAAUUCCGCGUGUAGCAGUGAAAUGCGUAGAUAUGCGGAGGAACACCGAUGGCGAAGGCAAUCCCCUGGGCCUGCACUGACGCUCAUGCACGAAAGCGUGGGGAGCAAACAG